rnacentral:rRNA from 1 species
AAUCAACGCUGGCGGCGUGCCUCAGACAUGCAAGUCGAACGAUUAAAGCUCUCUUCGGAGAGUGUAUAGAGUGGCGCACGGGUGAGUAACACGUAAGUAAUCUACCCUCGAGUGGGGAAUAACAACCGGAAACGGUUGCUAAUACCGCAUAAUGCAGCGGCACCGCAAGGUGACAGUUGUUAAAAAUUUAUCGCUUGAGGAGGAGCUUGCGGCAGAUUAGCUAGUUGGUAGGGUAACGGCUUACCAAGGCUACGAUCUGUAACCGGUUUAAGAGGACGGUCGGUCACACUGACACUGAAUAACGGGUCAGACUCCUACGGGAGGCAGCAGUCGGGAAUUUUGGGCAAUGGGCGAAAGCCUGACCCAGCAACGCCGCGUGAAGGAUGAAGUAUUUCGGUAUGUAAACUUCGAAAGAAUAGGAAGAAUUAAUGACGGUACUAUUUAUAAAGGUCCGGCUAAACUACGUGCCAGCAGCCGCGGU